rnacentral:lncRNA from 1 species
GUCAACGGCAAAAACACACACGCAGGUUAAUUAAGUCAUGCCUUGCCUCUCAAGAAGUGUCGCAUUCUCGAGAAAAAUUCCAUAUACAUUAAAGGUCGUGUGUAUGUAGCAUAAAAGUUGGAUUCUUUAAUUUAUAUGUAACCAAUCGAAAAAAAAUAAUAAUAAUCUACAGCAGUCAAAGUUGCCGUCUAUCUUGUCUUCUAACUUGUAAUUAUUAUAAAAAUCUAGUUUUCCACUUAUCUAGAAGUGAGUGUGUGUGUGUGUGGAUAGAUCUCACCUCACAUUCACAAAUCACAAUAGCAGAAGAUUAUGGCAACAAAAGUGAAGGUUUGGGGGUUUUGGUGUAGUCCUUUUGUGUUUAGGGUAGUAUGGGCAUUGAAGCUAAAGGGUGUUGAAUUUGAAUAUAUUGAAGAAGACGUCUUUAACAAAAGCACCAGGCUUCUUGAGCUGAACCCAGUUCAUAAAAAGGUUCCUGUGCUUGUUCAUGAUGACAAAGUGAUAGUUGAGUCGUUUGUUAUUCUGGAGUACAUCGAUGAGACAUGGCCACAAGAUCCGUUGCUGCCUCGAGAUCCUUAUGAAAGAGCCAUGGCUCGAUUUUGGGCUAAAUUUGCAGAUGAAAAGGUGAGUGUUAAUGUUUUUACAACUUUGAAUUCAAUUAAAACUUCGAUUUGAUCUUUUCAAAACAAGUUUGUGGUUUUUCUGUUAAAGUUCUCUCUGAACUAAAAUACUGGUUUGGCCUCCUAAUUUUUUUAUUUUUAGCUGAUGCAAACUGCAUGCAAGUCAACGUGGACCAAAGGAGAGGAAAAAGAGGAUGCUCUGAAAGCAACAAUGGAAGCUUUGGAGAAGAUAGAGGGAGAACUCAAAGGAAAAAGCUACUUUGGAGGAGAGAACAAAUAUGCGUAUUUGGAAGUUGCAAUUGGAUGGAUCAAUUACCUUAUACCAAUUUGGGAAGAAAUUGCAUCCAUUCAAUUUCUUGACCCGAAAAGAUUUCCAGCCAUUACUGCAUGGAAAAGCAAGUUUCUGGAUAACCCUUUGAUCAAAGAAACCCUGCCACCAAGGGAGAAAUUGCUUAUCUAUUUUCACGAGCGCGUCAAACAUUGGGAGAUUGACGCUACAAUCCGUGAACUGGCGGAGACCAAACUUGAAAAUUAAUUAAUUAAUCGAAUUAUCAUCUCUGCACGUGUCUCUUUUUUAUUCGCUCUGUAUGAUUUCGUUGUUUUUUAUUAUUAUUGUUAUUAUUAUUUUUAUAAGUACUUUGGGUCAAGUUGAAUCUGUGUUGAGAAAAUAAAGAAGAGGUAUGACCUAUUUAUUAUGCUUUGGCGGGACAAAAAUUAUACAUUACUUUCAUGGAACUAUUUUUUCAGAUAUAUGGAAUUUGUAGCUAGAUCAAGAGUUAAAGAGUUGAAGAUUAAACCAACAAAGUGUUGGCUCCACUGGCAAUUGAGUCCCCUUAAGUGGCUUGACUGGGUUUGCUCCCCAGUUCGAGUCGCAGGGAAGUCGCUUUUGUUGGGAGAACUUGUGCCUCCCGGUUCGAGCGGGGACUUCUAGUCUGGAUUGUGGUACGGGCUUAAAGGUGCCUCCCAUAGUUGGGGCCCUCCCCAGGAUACCUCGUGAUUAAUAUAAAAAAAAAAAAAAAGAGUUGAAGAUUAGCUUCAAUCUUAUAAACAUGGCCUAAAGUUCAUCCCAUAUUAAUGUAGGAUUUUUCCUUAAUUAACUUCUGUUAUGUGCACAUCAAUUUAUUUUUUUUUUGUUAGAUCCUUAUCACAUAGAAAGAUAAUUUGGAUCCACUCAUAGGUGAAUUUGUCCAUUAUAACAUAUUGAAAUCUAUGAGUUUAAUUCAUGUUAAAAAACUCAUUUAGAUCUUGAGGAAUAUUGCCUUUAACCCAAUAUUCAAUUGCAAUUAAGUGGAGAUCCUCCAAUGUAAUGAAAAAUUGUUUUAUUUAAAUUAAAUUAAACAAGAAAAACAUUUCAUCAAUAUACUAUAAUGGGAAGAGCAUUUGGCGCCCCUGAGCAUUAAUUAAACUUAUUUUCUAUUCGAAUUUUUGUUGCUAGUAUAAUUAUUGGGCAAAUUAAUUGUUUCCAAAAGGGUAUCAUACAUUAGUUCUUAUCAUUUUUGUUAACUUCAUAUAAUUAGGAGAAAUUCUAUAAACAGACUCUUAAAGAUUUUAGAUUUACAAGCUAUAAAAUAAGAUGAAAAAAAAAAUUACCUUACAAUAAUUGUAUGUUACAAUGAUAGUAAGUUUUUAUAAGAUAGACGAACCCAAUAUAAGAUGAGUUAAAAAUAUCAAAUAUAUACAUCAAUUAUUCGGAGGUAUGUAUAGAACAUUCAUUUUUUAUAUUCAACUAACAUUGUGUUGCUAAAAACAAUAAUAUUAUACUAGUUUAGUUAGGAUAACUAGUUUAUAUUCCAAUUGCUGUGACAUUAUUUGAUUAACUUAAGUGCUAGUUAGUUAUUAAGUUUUAUCAUUUCACAUAAAUUGAAAUAUAAACAAAAUAUUCCAACUAAAUAAAUAUAGCAUCACUCAUUUUUAAAAAUUUUAAGUUUUUAGAAAUAACGAAUAUCUCCUGUUGUAUGUAUAAUAUCUUAAUACCCACAGAAUGAUAAAUUUAUUAAAAUAAAAGAAUUGCAAAGAAUACAACUAGCAGCUAGUUCGAGAAGGAUCUAAGCGAGCCUUACUCUUAACAAAUUAACCAUUUUCAAAGCCUAUGCCUAUUAGAAAAGACACUUAAAAAUAAUGAAAAAUCAAACAGAUCUGCAGUAAGGUAGAUAUCACAAGAUAUUGUGAUGUAAUCAAUUAUGAAUUUAUGUUGGACUAUUAAUGUUGUUGUUACACUUAGAAAUUCUCGGCCAUUGCUGAAUGGAGCACCAAGUUUCUGAAACACCCUGUCAUCAAAGAAAACUUGCCACCCAGGGACAAGACGCUUGCCUAUUUUCACAAGCGAGUAGAAGAGAUUAUGCCGACUUUUGUGCAUCGGAGAAUUAAAGUUGCAAUGUUGUGUGUAAUGUAUAUUUCAUCUUUAAAUCAAAUAUUUAGAAAGAAUAAGAUGAUAUCCUAUGAUUAGGCCUAUGUUCUAUAAUAUGCAAGAACUGCCUGUUAUGUCUUCAUAAAUUUGGAAGCCUACAAAGAACUAGGAAGCUUCUCUCUUUUUAUCAGAAUUUUGCAAAUAACGGUUGUAUAAAUGGUUUCAAAGAUGAGUUUAUUUAGUAAAAUAAUGGGAGUAGUAAAUUUUAGUUAAGGGACAGAGGUUGCAUUAGGCAUCCUAGUGGGUGUAUAGCUAAAAAAAAUUAUUUUUUUAUAUAUGUAAUAAUAGAUCUUUUGAAAAGAUGGGUUUUUAAAAUAGUUUAGUGGAUGACAUCAUUUAAAUUUUAACAAAUAAUAAUAAUAACAACUCUCUAAAGAAAAUCAAGCAAAAAUAAUAAUAGCUUGAAGACUUAAUACUACCAGAAGGAGCUGCAAGCAUCAUGAGACAGGAUAGCUUUGAGCCCUUGACCAUAUCUUGGGGCCUGCAUCACUGUACCACCACCCAAAUCAUCAUACUGCAGGCUCAAUUUAGACAAGAAAAUUCUAUGGGUUUACUAAGGCCCAAAUUAAUCUAACUCAAUCUAGUUAAAUUAAUAUAGAUUGAUUGGGUUAUAAUGGGUUGAUUCCGUCAAUUUAUUAAGUGGUGAUAAUUGACUCUCUUAUUUUAUCUAACUAGUCCCCACUUUUUAGUUAAAUUCAUUAAAAAUUUGAAAUUAAUUUUUAUCCCUUACAAUAUCUCAAAUAAUCCCAAUUUUAUUUUUAUUAUAAUUUUUUUUUCAACCAUCCAUCGUAUAAAACUUAUGAAAUCUAUUUUUUUUUUAAAAAAACUCUAAAAACAUUUAAAAAGAAAAGAACAUCGUGUUAUUUAUCGUUAGAUGUUGGUUACAAUGGAAAAUAUUUAAUUUUAUGAUGGGGAAUUAUGUGCUUUUUUACUAUUUGAAUUUAAUUUUAAAUUCCAAAUUAUUUUUUAAACUUUUAUAUUUAAAUUUUUUGUAUUUUUAAUUUUGAUCAAGAUCAACCCAACCCAACCCAACCAAACCAUUGCCGAUGAUUUAAGGGUUGGAGUGGGUUGGAUUUGACAUGUUUAUUUGUUUAAUUUAUUAAUUCUUCUCAACCCAAUUAACAAUGGAUUGAGUUGGAUUUUUAUAAACUGAAUCCAAUUCAACCCAUAUCCACCUCUAAAAAUUAAAUUCUUUUAUAAAAUAGUGUUAGAAAAAUAUUUUAACAAGGAACUAUUUUUAAAUUAAAAAAGGGGAGAAGUUCUCAUCAGUCAUCUCUACAUAGGAUAUUGUUGCAUAUAAAACAUUGAAAUGAAAAAAAAAAAAAUUAGAAACUAGACUUUUGAAAUUCCAAAUGUCCUCACAGAACUCAACACCGUCAAUGGCAAAAACACACACGCAGGUUAAUUAAGUCAUGCCUUGCCUCUCAAGAAGUGUCGCAUUCUCGAGAAAAAUUCCAUUUACAUUAAAGGUCGUGUGUAUGUAGCAUAAAAAUUGGAUUCUUUAAUUUAUAUGUAACCAAUCGAAAAAAAAUAAUAAUAAUCUACAGCAGUCAAAGUUGCCGUCUAUCUUGUCUUCUAACUUGUAAUUAUUAUAAAAAUCUAGUUUUCCACUUAUCUAGAAGUGAGUGUGUGUGUGUGUGGAUAGAUCUCACCUCACAUUCACAAAUCACAAUAGCAGAAGAUUAUGGCAACAAAAGUGAAGGUUUUGGGGGUUUGGUGUAGUCCUUUUGUGUUUAGGGUAGUAUGGGCAUUGAAGCUAAAGGGUGUUGAAUUUGAAUACAUUGAAGAAGACAUCUUUAACAAAAGCACCAGGCUUCUUGAGCUGAACCCAGUUCAUAAAAAGGUUCCUGUGCUUGUUCAUGAUGACAAAGUGAUAGUUGAGUCGCUUGUUAUUCUGGAGUACAUCGAUGAGACAUGGCCACAAGAUCCGUUGCUGCCUCAAGAUCCUUAUGAAAGAGCCAUGGCUCGAUUUUGGGCUAAAUUUGCAGAUGAAAAGGUGAGUGUUAAUGUUUUUACAACUUUGAAUUCAAUUAAAACUUCGAUUUGAUUUUUUCAAAACAAGUUUGUGGUUUUUCUGUUAAAGUUCUCUCUGAACUAAAAUACUGGUUUGGCCUCCUAAUUUUUUAUUUUUAGCUGAUGCAAACUGCAUGGAAGUCAACGUGGACCAAAGGAGAGGAAAAAGAGGAUGCUCUGAAAGCAACAAUGGAAGCUUUGGAGAAGAUAGAGGGAGAACUCAAAGGAAAAAGCUACUUUGGAGGAGAGAACAAAUAUGCGUAUUUGGAAAUUGCAAUUGGAUGGAUCAAUUACCUUAUACCAAUUUGGGAAGAAAUUGCAUCCAUUCAAUUUCUUGACCCGAAAAGAUUUCCAACCAUUACUGCAUGGAAAAGCAAGUUUCUGGAUAACCCUUUGAUCAAAGAAACCCUGCCACCAAGGGAGAAAUUGCUUAUCUAUUUUCACGAGCGCGUCAAACAUUGGGAGAUUGACGCUACAAUCCGUGAACUGGCGGAGACCAAACUUGAAAAUUAAUUAAUUAAUCGAAUUAUCAUCUCUGCACGUGUCUCCUUUUUGUACGCUCUGUAUGAUUUCAUUGUUUUUUAUUAUUACAAGUACUUUGUGUCAAGUUGAAUCUGUAUUGAGAAAAUAAAGAAGAGUUAUGACUAAGGAUGGUAAUUGUACCCGCAAACUCGUAAAUUUAUCUAAAUUCACCCGUUAAAAUUCGUUUGCUGUGGGUAAUUUUAUCCGUUGCGGGUGGGUUUAGUAUUAUAAACUAAAAUCCGCAUAUGGAUGCGGGUGUGUUUGGUAUUAAUCUUAUAUCUGAUGGAUACCCGCAUGGAUAUCCACCAAACCCGCAAUAUUUUUUUCAAAUAUUUUUAAUUUAAUUUUAAUCUAAAAAUGUAUAAAGAAAAUAAUGUCAUUAUUUAAAUUACCAAAUAGUCAAAAGCUCAAAGUUGUAUAUGUGUGUAUGUGACCCAUCUCCCAUUCUAAAGUCAUAACCUAAAGAAAACUAAAGUCAUUUCCCUUCGAAUUAAUAUUUGAAAAUAUUAAUCUUAAUUAUUAUUAUAGGCAUUGUGUUGGAUGGGUGCUUAUGGUGGUGAAUGAAAUGAAUAUCUUCUCUUGGAGCUUGUUUUAAAUGAUAAUAUGAAAUGUAAUUAUUAUUUUUAGAUACUAAUUUGUAUUUUUUAAAUGAAUUUGUGUAAUUUAUACUUAAAUUUGAGAAUUUGUGUUGAAUUGAUGUGGAAAUUUUACUUUUUUAUUUACAUUAUUUAAAUAUAAAAUUGAGUAUGUUAUAUGGAAUUUGAGGUUAUUAUUAUAAAUUUAUAUAUUAAACAUUUGUGAUUUUAAAUACGGAAACCCGCAAAAAAUCCGCCGGGUACCAUUGCGGGUUUGGUAAUUGUUAAAACCCGCUGUGGGUGGGUUUUUUUAAAAAAACUAAAACCCGCUGCGGGUUGCGGGUGGGUUUGGUAAUUUAAAUUUUGUGCGGGUUUGGGUUUGGUAAUGGCAAACCCGCUGCGGGCGGUGCCCAUUGCCAUCCCUAGUUAUGACAUAUUUAUUAUACUUUGACGGGACAAAAAUUAUACAUUACUUUUAUGGAACAAUUUUUUCAGAUAUAUGGAAUGUGUAGCUAGAUCAAGAGAUAAAGAGUUAAAGAGUUGAGAUUAGCUUCAAUCUCCAUAGCCUAAAGUUCAUCCUAUAUUAAUGUAGGAUUUUUCCUUAAUUAACAUCUGUUAUGUGCACAUCAAUUUUUUUUUUUUUUGUUAGAUCCUUGUCACAUAGAAAGAUAAUUUGGGUCCACUCAUAGGUGAAUUUUUCCAUUAUACCAUAUUGAAAUCUAUGAGUUUAAUUCAUGUUCAAAAACUCAUUUAGAUCUGAGGAAUAUUGCCUUUAACCCAAUAUUCAUUCGCAAUUAAGUGGAGAUCCUCCAAUGUAAUGAAAAAUUGUUUUAUUAAAUUAAAUUAAACAAGAAAAACAUUUCAUCAAUAUACUAUAAUGGGAAGAGCAUUUGGCGCCCCUGAGCAUUAAUUAAACUUAUUUUCUAUUAGAAUUUUUGUUGCUAGUAUAAUUAUUGGGCAAAUUAAUUGUUUCCAAAAGGGCAUCAUACAUUAGUUCUUAUCAUUUUUGUUAACUUCAUAUAAUUAGGAGAAAUUCUAUAAACAGACUCUUAAAGAUUUUAGAUUUACAAGCUAUAAAAUAAGAUGAAAAAAAAAAUUACCUUAUAAUAAUUGUAUGUUACAAUGAUAAUAAGUUUUGUAAGAUAGACGGACCCAAUAUAAGAUGAGUUAAAAAUAUCAAAUAUAUACAUCAAUUAUUCGGAGGUAUGUAUAGAACAUUCAAUUUAUAUUCUACUAACAUUGUGUUGCUAAAAAAAUAAUGUUAUUCUAGUUUAGUUAGGAUAACUAGUUUAUAUUCCAAUUAAUGUGACAUUAUUUGAUUAACUUAAGUGAUAGUUAGUUAUUAAGUUUUAUCAUUUCACAUAAAUUGAAAUAUAAACAAAAUAUUCCAACUAAAUAAAUAUAGCAUCACCCAUUUUUAAAAAUUUUAAGUUUUUGGAAAUAACAAAUAUCUCCUGUUGUAUAUAUAAUAUAUUAAUACCCACAGAUGAUAAAUUUAUUAAAAUAAAAGAAUUGCAAAGAAUACAACUAGCAGCUAGUUCGAGAAGGAUCUAAGCGAGCCUUACUCUUAACAAAUUAACCAUUUUCAAAGCCUAUGCCUAUUAGAAAAGACACUUAAAAAUAAUGAAUAAUCAAACAGAUCUGCAGUAAGGUAGAUAUCACAAGAUAUUGUGAUGUAAUCAAUUAUGAAUUUAUGUUGGACUAUUAAUGUUGUUGUUACACUUAGAAAUUCCCGGCCAUUGCUGAAUGGAGCACCAAGUUUCUGAAACACCCUGUCAUCAAAGAAAACUUGCCACCCAGGGACAAGACGCUUGCCUAUUUUCACAGGCAAGCAGAAGAGAUAUAUGCCGACUUUUGUGCAUCGGAGAAUUAAAGUUGGAAUGUUGUGUGUAAUGUAUAUUUCAUCUUUAAAUCAAAUAUUUAGAAAGAAUAAGAUGAUAUCCUAUGAUUAGGCCUAUGUUCUAUAAUAUGCAAGAACUGCCUGUUAUGUCUUCAUAAAUUUGGAAGCCUACAAAGAACUAGGAAGCUUCUCUCUUUUUAUCAGAAUUUUGCAAAUAACGGUUGUAUAAAUGGUUUCAAAGAUGAGUUUAUUUAGUAAAAUAAUGGGAGUAGUAAAUUUUAGUUAAGGGACAGAGGUUGCAUUAGGCAUCCUAGUGGGUGUAUAGCUAAAAAAAAUUAUUUUUUUAUAUAUUUAAUAAUAGAUCUUUUGAAAAGAUGGGUUUAUAAAAUAGUUUAGUGGAUGACAUCACUUAAAUUUUAACAAAUAAUAAUAAUAACAACUCUCUAAAGAAAAUCAAGCAAAAAUAAUAAUAGCUUGAAGACUUAAUACUACCAGGAGAAGCUGCAAGCAUCAUGAGACAGGAUAGCCUUAAGCCCUUGACCAUAUCUUGGGGCCUGCAUCACUGUACCACCACCCAAAUCAUCAUACUACAGGCCCAAUUUAGAGAAGAAAAUUCUAUGGGUUUACUAAGGGCCGAAUUCAAUCUAAUUCAAUCUACUUAAAUUAAUAUAGGUUGAUUGGGUUAUAAUGGUUGAUUCGUUCAAUUUAUUAACUAGGGAUAAUUGACUGCCUUAUUUUAUCUCACUAGCCCGCCACUUUUUAGUUAAAUCCAUUAAAAAUUUUAAAUUAAUUUUUAUCUCUUAAAAUAUCUCAACUAAUCCCAAUUUUAUUUUUAUUAUAAUUUUUAUUUUUUUCCAACCAUCCAUCGUAUAAAACUUAUGAAAUCUAUUUUAAAAAGAAAAAAAACUCUAAAAACUUUUAAAAAGAAAAUAACAUCAUGUUAUUUAUCGUUAGAUGUUGGUUACAAUGGAAAAUAUUUAAUUUUAUGAUGGAGAAUUAUGUGCUUUUUUACUAUUUGAAUUUAAUUUUAAUUUCCAAAUUGUUUUUUAAACUUUUAUAUUUGAAUUUUUUGUAUUUUUAAUUUUGAUUAAUUCGAUCAACCCAACCAAACCAUUGCCGAUGAUUUAAGAGUUGGAUUGGGUUGGGUUUGACAUGUUUAUUUAUUUAAUUUAUUAAUUCUUCUCAACCCAAUUAACAAUGGAUUGAGUUGGAUUUUUAUAAACUGAAUCCAAUUCAACCCAUGUCCACCUCUAGAAAUUAAAUUCUUUUGUAAAAUAGUGUUAGAAAAAUAUUUUAACAAGGAACUAUUUUUAAAUUAAAAAAGGGGAGAAGUUCUCAUCUCUACAUAGGAUAUUGUUGCAUAUAAAACAUUGAAAUGAAAAAAAAAUAAAAUUAGAAACUAGACUUUUGAAAUUUCAAAUGUCCUCACAGAACUCAACACCAUCAAUGGCAAAAACACACACGCAGGUUAAUUAAGUCAUGCCUUGCCUCUCAAGAAGUGUCGCAUUCUCGAGAAAAAUUCCACAUACAUUAAAGGUCGUGUGUAUGUAGCAUAAAAAGGGAAAUUUACGAAAAUAACCAUUAAUAUUUUAUUAUUUUCGCAAUUAACCCUCUCAACUUUUUUCUAUCAACAUUAGCCAAACACAAGUCUUUCUUCCCAAAUUACCCUUCUUUACAGAACAAAACCAACAUUGUUUCUCCCAUAUCGCCAAACCAAAAGCAGCUUUUCACUCUUGAAUCAUCAGCCAACGGCGACCGCAAAAGACAACGGUAAAAGUGAUAUCCGAUCAUAAUCUAUCCGGAUCCAACACAAAUCGACAUCACUUAGUGGUAUGAAUUAUUUUAUGAACUUACUGAACUGAGUCGGGUGAAUCUGAAUCUGGCGACAUGCUGCUUGUCGCAGCAAAACUUGGUGCGACAGGCAACCUGUCACACCAAACCUUGGUGUGACAGGCACCCUGUCGCACCAAGCUUCGGGCGACAGGCACCCUGUCGCACCAAGCUUCGGGCGAUAGGCACCCUGUCGCACCAAGCUUCGGGCGACAAGUUGCCUGUCGCACCCACCCUGGAGAUUCAUUAAAACUGUAUUAUUUUAAUAGGACUCAAAAUUUUUUUUUUUUAUAAUUUCAGGCUUAAUGGAUUCAGUUGUACUUGAAUUGUGUUACGAUGGUUGGUGGGAGACAUUAGAGAAUGGCCGUAUGGAGUACGUGAAUGGUAAAAAUCGAGCUUUUUUGGUUGGAAAAAAUUAUCUGUUUGAUCAAUUAUUGGCAAGAGUAUACGAGGUGUUACAAAUAAACCCUAAUGACUAUAGUAUCACAAUGAAGACAACUUUGAGAUCUAGUAACACAUUAUAUCGUAUAUGUGCAAUGCUCAUGGAUAUAUGUGAUGAUGAAAUGGUGAGGGUUGUGUUGCAUAUGGCAUCUGACGUAGCUAAUUUUGGAUGCAUUCCUAUAUUCGUGACCACAUCACCUCGAGUUCCGAGCGAAGGUAUUGAGCCACAUGUCGAUACAGUAACUUCGUUUAGAGCAAAUAUGUCUGGCCCCGAUAAUGAUGAAGAGGUGUUGCCAAGGACAAUAUCGCUGCAGCAAUAUUACUCUCCAAUCCACGACAAUUAUGACAACAUUGAUGAUAAUGGCAUUACGUUACAGGAUGUUGGAGCAACGAUAUUUCCAAUAACAACGUCGUUGGAGCAACGAUAUUCUCCGUAUCAUAACAAUGAUUUUCGGGACAAUGAUGAUUUUCAUAAUGAGACAGAGCGGGAUAAUGUUUGUGCAGAACCUUCUAAUAAUACGAGGCGGGGCACUCGUUUCAAUAAUGAUGGUGAUGAUGGAGGAGCCGGUCCUUCGAAUGUUCCGUCGUUUCAGCAUGAGGAUGAGUGUGAAGACAAUACUCUUGUGAAUAACAGAGGCAAUAGACCUAUUCCUUCUAUGGUUCGAUCGAGAAGGAAAAUUGACCCCCUUACAAGUCUUGCUCCAACUUUGCCUUCGAACAUGGUUGCUCCAAGUUUUGUUAGCAGUUGUGACUCAGAUGAUAUCAGCGUGGGUAAGCUAUUUGCUGAGAAGAAUGAGCUUAUAUUACAACUACGCAAGGUGGCCUUUAGAGAUAAGUUUGAUUUCAAGAUUGCACGGUCUACUACGACACGUUUCGAGGCUCAUUGUUGUUCAGAAUUAUGUAAAUGGCGUAUUCGAGCAACUAGAAGUUCGAACGAGAAAAAUGUUCCUUGGGUGGUGAAGAGAAUUGAUAAUGUACACACUUGUCAUAAUGAGGUAUUGGUUGAUGGACGUCAUCAAGUAAGGAGCCGGGUUGUCGGUCAUAUUAUCGUAGAAAAAUAUAUUCAAGAUAAGAGAAUUUAUACUCCCAAUGACAUAAGAGCAGAUAUGCAACAGGAAUACGGUGUUCAGUUAACAUACCAGCAGGCAUAUAGGGCGAGAGAAGUUGGUCUUGAAAUAGUUCGCGGCAACCCUGCAGAGUCAUACAACUUGCUCCCUAAAUACUCUCACGUACUAACUACAGCGAAUGAGGGUACAAUCACUCACCUCGAGCAGGAUGGAGAUGGUAAUUUCUUAUACUAUUUUGUAGCACUCGGAUCUUCCAUCAAGGGGUUUAUGCAGUACAUUCGGCCUGUCAUUGCUGUAGAUGGUACUCAUCUGAAGGGACUAUAUCGUGGAAGCAUGUUCGUGGCAACAUGUCUUAAUGGUAACAAUCAAUUGUAUCCGUUAGCCAUUGGGAUCAUGGAUUCAGAAAACAAUGAUGCUUGGGAAUGGUUUAUGAUAAAGUUACACGGAGUGAUUGGUGAUAGACCUGAGUUGGUAAUUAUCUCUGAUCGAUGCACUGCCAUAAGGAGAGCCGUUCUUAAAGUAUUUCACAAUGCAACUCAUGGCGUUUGUUUUUACCACGUCAAAGGUAACAUUAAGUCACAAUUUAGAAUGUCCAAAGCUCUUUGGGAUGAAUUUGAGCCUGUCUUUAUUAAUGCAGCAAAAGCAUAUGGCCACGAGGAAUUGAAGAGACAACUUGAGGGGUUGUGGAUGAUCCACUCGGGUGCGGCUGAUUACCUAGAAAAUAAUGUCGGUAUGUGUAAUUGGGCAAGGUCUCAGUUUGAAGGUAGGAGGUACAACAUUCUUACCACCAACAUCGCGGAGAGUGUUAAUGCUUUCAUGAGGGAACCUCAAAAAUUUCCUGUUACUCAUCUUGUUGAUCACUUUAGGAAAACAUUACAGCAAUGGUUUUAUGAUAGAAAAAUUAUGGCUGAAUCAAUGACUACUCGGCUAACAACAUGGGCGGAUGAAAUAGUCACUGAGAGGAGAACUAUAACUGAAAGAAUGAUAGUUCGGCCGGUGUCUCCGCAUCGCUUUCAAGUUAUAGGUGGUGGGCUUAAGGAAUGGUUGGUUAACUUGCAAAAGAGAACUUGCUCCUGCAGAGUGUUUCAGCUUGAUCAGCUUGUGUGUGCUCAUGCAAUUGUGGCGUGUCUAACACACCGGGUGGAUUUUAUUAACCUUUGCUCGGACUUUUACACUACAGAAUCGUUGGCGAUGGCUUAUGCACAACCAGUGGAGCCAGUUGGUGAUGUGGCUGAUUGGGAAGUUCCAGAUGAAAUUCAGGAGAUGCAAGUAUACCCACCAGUUGAGGCACCACCACUUGGUCGUCGUAAAGAGCUCAGAAUACCCUCGGCUGGCGAGGACGUUGACUGGCGGACUAUAAGAUGCGGCCGGUGUCAUGAACUAGGUCAUAAUCGUAAGCGAUGUAAGAAUCCUAUUGCGUCGACUCGAAGUUAGUUGUAUUUUGUGUGUUAUUCGUUGGUUAAAACUAUUAUUGUUUUUGUGUAUUGUACACUUAUAUUUCAUAAAACUUUAUUUUAUUUUAAAGUUCAAAAUGUGAGGCAUUAAAAUUAUAUAAACUUAAGUGUGCAAAUUAAAAAAAAAAUUCAAAUUUCAACAUUAAAAUUACUACAUAGGUCUACAAUAUAAUAUCGUCAUUAAAUAUAUCAACCGCAAUCUUCUUUCUAAAGUACUCGACAUGACUAGCGUUAAACUCCAAUCUAAGCCCGAACAUUAAAUACAUCGUAACCAUCAAUACGAAAACACCGCAAUCGCCAGUUCCGGGCUCUUGUUGCGGCGCGCUCUUAACUGCGUUAACUUUCCACGGGUCUUCACUUCGCAACUCAGGUCGGAUAUUGUAGAAGCCAACAUAUUCCAACCAUCGAGGGAAUAUAACUUCAAGUGGCUUGAAUUUCAACUUGUACCUUUUGUCGUCGCGAAAUGUGAGUAAUGAGUCAUAAAUCCAGACUUUAUUUUUCCGAAAGUCAACUCAUGCUAGUACCCAAUGCGCGUCGUCCAAGUUAACAGGGAUGAGUAACUGCAUAUAAAAAUUGAAAAACAUGUUCGUUAUAUAUGCAAUUGAAAUACAACAAAGAAAAAGCAACAACUCGAAUAUUUUCAUUAUAGAGCAUGUGAAAUGUAAUAAAAUACAUAUCGUAUCGACAUCCGUCAUUGAUUUUGACAUUGUGUGCUGUCGCCCACAAAGAUAACUAUUCAAGUGGUCGUCGAAUACCAUUGAAUCGACUGCACAAUUCCCGUUAUUCCAUAACUGAUUCAAGAACACCUAGUACAUAGAUAACCAAGAAAUGCAUAAAUUAAUAAAACUUAAAGGCAAUAAUUAAAAAAAAAUUAAAUAGUAUUUAUAAGUUUUGUCGACACGUUACCCAAAAAAAUGUGUCAGUAUGUGUGACACGUUGGAGUAAGGCAUUUGGAUACUGUCGUUGUUUCUCGCUAAUUAAGCGGAGAUACUCGUGAAUAUGCUGUAGAGAAACAAAAAUAUUACGAUUUAAAAAAAUAAUUUAUAUACAAAUCCACAACAGUAUACACCACGAGGAAAAUAUAAAUACCUCAUCGCCUAGCCAUCCCAUCGAAGCUGUCCCCAAAAUUAUUUGAAAGAAUGACCGCGGGUGCUGGACUCUCCGGCGGACUCUGCUAUCACCAGUGAACCAUCGAUCAAACUCAGCAAACAGACUAGAGUCCUCCAAUCCUCUCAGUGGAUUUACAUUCACACUCGUACUCAUGUCAAUCGCAUGCUCCAUGAUUUGGGGUCGAGGUAAAGGCCGGACGUUCUGUCCUCGUCUGACCGGAGGAAUCAUGUAAGGACUGUUAUAAACAUACGACGGUAUGUACGCGCGGCCGAACUUACUAACGCCCGGAGGCACCUUUGUGAACACCUGCACGCUCUCCCCACUAACAUCCCCGUAGAAACUAUACAAUGACGUGGGCGUAGACAAAUUUUCAUUGCCCACGUCAGUAUACACUCCAUAGUCAUCCGGGGCCUGUACAUUCGCCAAAAAGAACAUAUUAAAUAACUAUCAAAUUAAAAGUUAAACGAACAUAAUUAUUAAAUUUAAACUAGCUUACCGCAUACGAGCGUGCAGUGGGAGAAUCCUUAUUUGGACGUUUAGAAAAUGUGUCGAUGAAGCCAACAACAGUUUCUUUAAAAUCUUUUAAUUCUGACUUUAUUUCAUACACGUUACGAUCAAUCUUAUCCAGCCGUCGUCGUACGUAAUCAUUAAACUGCUUUGUCCUCGACUAUUACAAAAGAAAAAAAUAAAACUUUAGAAUAACAAUAAAAAAAAUAAUAAUUUAUAAAGGAAAAAUAUCGUAUAUUAUUUAUAACCUCAUAAUCCCGUGCGUCAUCAGAGUUGUCUGUUUGCUGCUGGUGGUCAUCAACAGCCACUUCAUCCUCAAAAGUGUCAUGACCCACCUCAUCUUCAAAAGUGUCAUGACGUUGCUCUGGUAUUGUGUUUGGUAUGUCGUCAUGAUCGUCAUGCUUGUCUGAUUGCCUUGUAACCGACGACAUCGCGUUGAUUGAGGGUUGGUGCUAUAUAAAGUAUCAUUUAAAAUUAGUAAAUGAAAAGUCAAAAAUUUCGAUUAACAAAUUUUUAGUACUUAGAGUAUACCGACUUUAUGAACCCAGUCUGGAAUGCUUGGCAAGUAAUCCUUCACAGAGAGCCAAUAUUUUCUGCUACUCUCCAUUGAAUUUGGCUCAAGAGUUUGCAAAACGUCCCCCUGCCAUAAAUUCAAUUAAAAAUUUUAAGUGAGUAUACAUAACUUAAAUUUAGUAAAGUUAAAAAAAAAUAAGUAAUACAUAUUACUUACAAGACGAGAUUCAUCGUUGAAGAACGAAUAAACCUCCGCAAAGUUGAUUCUCGAAGACGCCAUGGGCUUCCAUUGCAGAAUGCGGGGAAUCUUAUUCUUCGUUUUGACGACCCAUGUUGAUGGCAACCCUCCGAUUGCUUCGUAAAUCCAAGCCUACAACAACCAAAGUGAAAAAUCAAAUAAAACAAUUAUCAAAUAUUUAAUACUAUAAAACUUAUUAAUAAACGAAAAAAAAGCACUUGAACCCCAGACGUAAAGCCGUAAAGAUUGUAUUUUUCAAUAUUAUGAUCUGGAUUUUUCAACCGAGUCUUCUUAAAUUUCUCGUCUUUCUCGAACAGUGCAUUGUCAAGACUCUCGUAAAUCAUUUCCCACGACAAUAGACCCCAUAGACGCUUUCGGAAGUACUGUAUAUCAUCAACUUGGUCAAGCCAAUCGAAAUUAAUUUGACAGUGAUUUUUUCUUGCAUUUAGUACUCUGUCCGCAAAAUAAAACAGCGCAAUCUUUAAUGCGUCUAUAUCGUCCAUUUCCUCAAAUUUCAACUCCUUAAAUACUGCAUCGAAUUGCUUCACAUUAAUCUUACGAUGCACACCACCAAAAUACGUAUUCCGUAGCCUCUGCUCCAUUUCAUCAUUUUUUUGAUUGGUAUCAACACCAAAUGAAAGUCCAGUAACCAAGCACCAUUCGACAAUUGACAAGCGAAUCAAAUGCUUACCAAUUUGAAACCAUAACUGAUCCUCACGGCUAUCUUCUUCAUGGGCCACUUGCCGCAGUAAAAGAUUGUGCAAAAUUACCCCACUAAAUGGAAAACUUCGACACUCCAAGAAAUGCCCAAAUAUAUCCUUUUUUAACAUACUCAACUGCCGCUUUGUUAAUUUUUCCUCGAUGGCUUUUACGAUCGAAGAUAACAUACACAUGCUCGAAAUUCGACUAGGAAAGUGAUCAGCAUAACAAAAAUACAUCUUGCCUACUUCAAUAUCCGGUGAUUCUGAUUUCGCCAUGUAUCUGUAAUAUUUAUAAAAUUAUUACAUUACAUUUACAGAAAAAAAAAUUGACUCGUUAAAAAAAAAAAAAAACUCUAAUCUUUGGUGCGACAGGCGCGCGCCCGUCGCACCAGAUUUGGUGCGACAGCGUGCCGCGCAUGGGUGCGCGCUGCUGCCCAGCGAUGGGCGCGCGCGCGCGCCCUGCCCCCUCCCUCCCCACCCCCAAAAUUAAGCGCAAUCACUCCAAAAUCGAAAACAAUACUCCCAAACACCACCAACCACCACAAACAUCAUCACCACCACUAUUAUUCUCAAGCUAUAACUAUUAUUAUUCUAAAAUCUCAUUUUAAAUUAAUGAAAAUAAGAAAAAUGACUAACCUAGGUUUUGUUGAAGGUUGUAGAUCGUAGAUCGGAUGCUGGUGAGAGAUGGAGCCGCCGCCGAUGAGGGUUGAUGUCGCCGCCGAUGAUGGGAGUUGGAUCGAUUUGGGAGAGAUGAGUGAAAGAGAGUGUUGGGGGAGAGAUGAGGGAGGGGUAUUUUGGUCUCAAAUAUUAUUUUAUGGCUAAUGUUGAUAGAAAUAUUUUUGGGGGGUUAAGAUGAAAAAAAGCAAAAAUAUUUUGGUUAUUACUGUAAAUUUCCCGCAUAAAAGUUGGAUUCUUUAAUUUAUAUGUAACCAAUCGAAAAAAAAUAAAAUAAAUAAUCUAUAGUAGUCAAAGUUGCCAUCUAUCUUAUCUUCUAACUUAUAAUUAUUAUAAAAAGACUUUUGCUACCUUACAUGUAACGUAAGGUACAAUUUCUCAUAAGAUUCGUGGACCCAAGUAAAAUCCACAUAUGAGUUUGUGAAAAGCUGUACCUUAUGUUGCAUGUAAGGUAGCAGCUCACUUAUAAAAAUCCAGUUUUCCACUUAUCUAGAAGUGAGUGUGUGUGUGUGGAUAGAUCUCACCUCACAUUCACAAAUCACAAUAGCAGAAGAUUAUGGCAACAAAAGUGAAGGUUUUGGGGUUUUGGUGUAGUCCUUUUUUGUUUAGGGUAGUAUGGGCAUUGAAGCUAAAGGGUGUUGAAUUUGAAUACAUUGAAGAAGACAUCUUUAACAAAAGCACCAGGCUUCUUGAGCUGAACCCAGUUCAUAAAAAGGUUCCUGUGCUUGUUCAUGAUGACAAAGUGAUAGUUGAGUCGCUUGUUAUUCUGGAGUACAUCGAUGAGACAUGGCCACAAGAUCCGUUGCUGCCUCAAGAUCCUUAUGAAAGAGCCAUGGCUCGAUUUUGGCCUAAAUUUGCAGAUGAAGAGGUGAGUGUUAAAGUUUUCACAACUUUGAAUUCAAUUAAAACUUCGAUUUGAUUUUUUCAAAACAAGUUUGUGGUUUUUCUGUCAAAGUUCUCUCUGAACUAAAAUACUGGUUUGGCC